UACGUAGGGUGCGAGCGUUAAUCGGAAUUACUGGGCGUAAAGCGUGCGCAGGCGGUUCGUUGUGUCUGAUGUGAAAGCCCCGGGCUUAACCUGGGAAUGGCAUUGGAAACUGGCGAGCUGGAGUGUGGCAGAGGGGGGUGGAAUUCCGCGUGUAGCAGUGAAAUGCGUAGAGAUGCGGAGGAACACCGAUGGCGAAGGCAGCCCCCUGGGCCAACACUGACGCUCAUGCACGAAAGCGUGGGGAGCAAACAGG
rnacentral:rRNA from 1 species